UGGGGAAUAUUGGACAAUGGAGGCAACUCUGAUCCAGCAAUUCUGUGUGCACGAUGAAGGUUUUCGGAUUGUAAAGUGCUUUCAGUAGGGAAGAAGAAAGUGACGGUACCUACAGAAGAAGCGACGGCUAAAUACGUGCCAGCAGCCGCGGUAAUACGUAUGUCGCAAGCGUUAUCCGGAAUUAUUGGGCGUAAAGGGCAUCUAGGCGGUUAAUCAAGUCGAAGGUGAAAACUUGUGGCUCAACCAUAAGCUUGCCUACGAAACUGAAUGACUAGAGUACUGGAGAGGUGGACGGAACUACACGAGUAGAGGUGAAAUUCGUAGAUAUGUGUAGGAAUGCCGAUGAUGAAGAUAGUUCACUGGACAGAAACUGACGCUGAAGUGCGAAAGCUAGGGGAGC
rnacentral:rRNA from 1 species